rnacentral:rRNA from 1 species
UACGGGGGGGGCAAGCGUUGUUCGGAAUUACUGGGCGUAAAGGGUUCGUAGGUGGCCAACUAAGUCAGACGUGAAAUCCCUCAGCUCAACUGGGGAACUGCGUCUGAUACUGGUCGGCUUGAGUGCAGGAGAGGAACGCGGAAUUCCAGGUGUAACGGUGAAAUGCGUAGAUAUCUGGAGGAACACCGGUGGCGAAGGCGGCGUUCUGGACUGCAACUGACACUGAGGAACGAAAGCCAGGGGAGCAAACGGG